GGGCAAUGGAGGCAACUCUGACCCAGCCAUNCCGCGUGCAGGAAGACGGCCNUAUGGGUUGUAAACUGCUUUUAUACGGGAAGAAACCCAACUACGUGUAGUUGGCUGACGGUACCGUAAGAAUAAGCACCGGCUAACUCCGUGCCAGCAGCCGCGGUAAUACGGAGGGUGCAAGNGUUAUCCGGAAUCAUUGGGUUUAAAGGGUCCGUAGGCGGAUUGAUAAGUCAGAGGUGAAAUCCCACAGCUUAACUGUGGCACUGCCUUUGAUACUGUUAGUCUUGAGUUAUAUGGAAGUAGAUAGAAUGUGUAGUGUAGCGGUGAAAUGNUUAGAGAUUACACAGAAUACCGAUUGCGAAGGCAGUNUACUANGUAUAUACUGACGNUAAUGGACGAAAGCGUGGGGAGCGAACAGGAUUNGAUACCNUGGUNGUCCACGCCGUAAACGANNGACACUAGUUGUUNGANUNAUUCAGUGAGCGAAAG
rnacentral:rRNA from 1 species